rnacentral:rRNA from 1 species
GACGAACGCUGGCGGCGUGCUUAACACAUGCAAGUCGAACGGAAAGGCCCUGCGUUUGUGGGGUGCUCGAGUGGCGAACGGGUGAGUAACACGUGAGUAACCUGCCCUUGACUUUGGGAUAACUUUAGGAAACUGGGGCUAAUACCGGAUAGGAGCUCUUGCUGCAUGGUGGGGGUUGGAAAGUUUCGGCGGUUGGGGAUGGACUCGCGGCUUAUCAGCUUGUUGGUGGGGUAGUGGCUUACCAAGGCUUUGACGGGUAGCCGGCCUGAGAGGGUGACCGGCCACAUUGGGACUGAGAUACGGCCCAGACUCCUACGGGAGGCAGCAGUGGGGAAUAUUGCACAAUGGGCGGAAGCCUGAUGCAGCAACGCCGCGUGCGGGAUGACGGCCUUCGGGUUGUAAACCGCUUUCGCCUGUGACGAAGCGUGAGUGACGGUAAUGGGUAAAGAAGCACCGGCUAACUACGUG